CUCUCUGAAACACAGAGAAGCGCAGCAGGUGCUGGGAGACUGACAAACAGGUUUGCUAUCAGCACAGGGUCAGGCCAGAGCCCACUAACGUGCCACAAUUUCCUUUCCCCAUGUGGUUUUUAAAAGGGCAUUUUAUAUCUCCACAUAUCUCUGCUUCCUCCCCAACAUGAGUUUCUCUCCCCCUGCCUGGGACCCUCUUAAUCCUGCAGGCCCUGGGUGUUGGGGUCAGGGAGGCCCCCUUUGCACAGCCAGCAAGACCCAGCGGCUGCCAAGCCUCUUCUGGAAGGCCCUGAGCCAAGGCUGGGUGCUUGGCCCAGAGAGUGCUUGGCCCACAUCCCACUUCCAGAAGCCUGAACGUUUGAAACCUGAGCUAAGCAUGGGACACAGCAGAAGCUGCUGCCUUUUCCAAGAAAUCAGGAGAGAGACAAGUAGUGGCCGCUCCUUGCCCAGGUACAAGGAAGCUUUUGGCUUAAGGGGGGGCGGGCUGUGAAGUCGGAAGAAGCAAGAUCUCCUGCGGGGUGAAUGCUGUGAGCCCCUCCAUCGAAGGCUCAUGUGGUCUAUAGGUGCAAUUAAACCCCACACCCUAAAGACACCUCCGUCUCUUCCAUCCCUCAUUCUAAAGAAACCCAACUCUCUGUGUAAAUGCCUGGAUCCCCUGAAAUCUUGCCCCUCUCGGAGACUGGGGUGCUGUGUGACAGUAUAGUCCAGGCAUAUAUGAAGAAAAUAGCCCCCAUAAUCAUUUGCAGAAAGGCGGAGACUGGGGGGCAGCUGGACCAGCGACUAGAGUCAGUGAUGGGCUGGAUGAGGGUCAACAAACUGAACCUCCCUUCCCAAACAAGGCGCAAAUGCUGUUCAGGGAGAUGCCAUUCGCCCCGUCCUAAACAUUGACAAACGUGACAAAUAGCUCAUGUUUUGUUCUGUUGCUGCAGGAUAUCUCUUGGAUGGCUUUAAAAGAGGUUGUGACUAAUUCAUGGAGGAGGAGGAGAGGGCUAUGGAUGCCCCCCCAGCCAUGAUGGCUCCGCUCUUGCUCCCCCUUUGGAGGCAGCCAUGCUUCUGGAUCCCCAUUUCUGGAAGUCCCAGGAGGAGGGCAGAGUGGGGCUCUGGCGCUUAGGGCCUGUUUUGGGGCUUCCCAGAAGAGGAGGCAUCAUCCGGUCGGCCAUUGUGAGGACCAAAGGCUGGACUCGAGGGGCCUUUGGCCGGAUCCAGCCAGGCUCUUCUUGUUUCCCCUGUUAAAGUGACUCUCUCAGAGUCCUUCUCUUCUUGGCCAUUAUUCACAGCGACAAUUCGUGGUUGCAAGAUAAGCUCCUGUGAAGAAGGAGGCUGGCUGUUUUGAGGGGGGCUCUCCAGGACCCACUUUUGGGACUCAAUGGGCUCAGUCACCUCAGGGACAUCAUAGGCUUCACUUUCUACCUGCUCCAUCUAGUUCACAAACUGCAGGUUUUCCUGGACAGGGAUAGUCUGCCCACAAGGAUCCAUAUUCUGCUCACCUCCUGACAGGAUUAUUGUAAUAGAUGUUGUUUUUCCCAGAGAGAAUAUUAUGAAAAUGAUAUACAGGUGGUACAUAACUCCAGUCAAGCUUGCAAAAAUCUACCAUUUGCCUGAUAAUAAAUGUUGGAAAUGUAAAGAAACUGAAGGUACAUUUUUUCACCUUUGGUGGACGUGCCCAAAGAUUAAGGCUUUCUGGGAGAUGAUAUAUCCUGAAUUAAAAUGGUAUUGAAAUCUACCUUCGUGAAGAAACCAGAGGCCUUUCUCCUGGGCAUAGUCGGCCAAACGGUGUUAAAAAAGGAUAGAACUUUCUUUAUGUAUGCUACAACAGCAGCAAGAAUACUCAUCGCAAAGUAUUGGAAGACACAAGAUUUACCCACACUGGAGGAAUGGCAGAUGAAAUUGAUGGACUAUAUGGAAUUGGCGGAAAUGACUGGCAGAAUCCGUGACCAGGGAGAAGAGUCGGUGGAAGAAGAUUGGAAGAAACUCAAAGACUAUUUACAGAAAUAUUGCAAAAUUAAAGAAUGUUAGAGUGAUGUUGGAUUGAAAUUAAGUGGCUUCUAGCUGUACAGGCUUUAAAGUUAAAGAUAGAUUAAGAUUAAGGAUUAGGACUAAAAAAGUCAAAAGAAAUGGAAAAUUGGUUUUUAAUAGAUUAAAAUUCAAUGUGACAUUAUAUUAAGAUUAAGGAUGGGAUUAAAAAGGAGGAAAAGGAAUUGCUGGACAAACAAAUUAAAACGGAAUACAAAAGAGGGAGGUAUGAGGAGGUCCGGGAAAUAAGUAAAUGUAAAAGUUGUGAUGAAAAGACGGAAUUGUUUUUAACUGUUUUUUCUUUUUUCUUUUUGUAUUUUGUAUGGUGUUUUAUUUUUAUUUUUAUUUUUUAAAUUUCUUUUUUAUUAAGAUGUUUUUUCAUGUGAAAUUCCAAUAAAUAUCAUUAUAUAUAUAUAUAUAUAUAUAUAUAUAUAUAUAUAUAUAUGUUGUUUUUCCCAAUACAGUAGGAAUGCUUCAGCUGCAACAAGAUAAACCUGACAGGAUUUUCACUGCCGCACCUCAUUUAAACCAAAUCUCACCAGGGCCAAAAGACCCUCUGCCUGUUUGUCUGGUUCUGAGUUCGAUCCAAAGCACUAGUCUUGUUUUAGAAAGUCCUCGGUGGCUUGAGGCGCCUUCUGCCCCCCUGCUCUCCUCUGUGGAGGCUUUUCUCCCUCUCCUUUCCCCUCUUCCUGGAGUGAAGGGGGCGGCGACAACAGCAACAGCAACAACUAACAGCCAGAAGGAAAAUGUUUGUUCUUCACAGACUUUUUAAAAAGUUUACAGGACUUUAGACAUUAAUUUUUUUCCUGUUCUUGAUAUUGUGUGGAAACAGCAACGAGUCUUCUUGCCCCUUAAAGGCUAGGAAAUAAAUUAUGGCAUAAAAACGUCCUUAGUGUGGUUCUCCGUUCCAAACUGGAUUGUUUCCCAGGAGACUUUGCCCCUUCUGCCUCUGAGUCAGGUUGGAAAGUCCCAGGGCAGUUCCCAGAACAAGGCCAGAAUGGUUCGGACUCCCUUUUAUAUGUUUUGUUUUCCUUUUUACUUCUAAGAAAAAUAGCUGAGGGUGCAGUAAACAUUCUUUGGCGAGUUACAAUAAUCUAAAUUUCGUUUGCAUGCCAAGCUAGCAAAGGAAUUUCAAGGAACCAUCUCAGGCUGCUUGGCUUACAUUUCUCACAGGAAUUGAAGAACGGAGGCAGAUUUUGCUGAGAAAGUACUCAUCCUCCAUUAACACUGGGGUGUGUUUGUGUUUGUUUCCUUCCCUCCUGCUCUCUCUCUGCCACAAGACACCCUCACCCAUUUCUCCACAGUCCCAUUUGUCUUUUCUCGCUUUCUCAUUUUCUCUAUCCUCCGCUGCCCCCUGCCGGCUGUUUUCUUACCCAGCUGAAAUGGAAAUCAGGUGAUUUCUAAGAAAUCCUUCAAGGGACCAGUUGAAGCAAGUCACGGGUUGCAAAAAAAAAGGUCAAGGUUCCCACAUAUAUCAGAGAUUUGCAAUUGUUGAAAAUGCAAGACAGUAAGAGCCGUGGCAAAAUGAUACCGGCAACUCCCCACAUGCACGCAAUAUACUUGCACACAACCACAAGGCCUUCUGAGCAGACCCUCCCCAGAGCCCAAAGAGGAUGUGUGCUCAGGCCAAGCCAGCCACUUCUUCCUUGGAGGGAGGGCAAAGUGCCUGGUGUGGUUUCUGCGCUUGAUCACCAUGUGCCAAAGUCAGGAAAGACCAAACACUGUCCUUCUGAAAGACGUUUCUGGGUAACGAUCUCCCCGCCAGGCUGCAAUCCUGAAGGGCUGUUGUGGCUUUUGGUUUGUCACUUGAGGGGAAAGGGGGCAUUUCUCAGUGUUGUGGGGCUUCAACUGUUUAAGGCAGACCUAAGCUACUUUUUGGACUUCUAGUCAGUUUGCAAAAAUCCAGCCUGAGACUUUUAAUAAUCUUCAGGCUGCAUGGCAUGAUGUUGUUGUCAUUGAGCCAGGAAAGAGACGCACCAGCGAAACACCACCAUUUUGUUUCCUCUUCUCCUCUGCAGCCUGGCCUUCACAAAAUGGCUUCCGUUCGUGGCAGGAGGGUGGGGACCUGCCUUGCCCUCACCACUUUCCUCCCUUCAGGGGAGAGGUCUGUUCAGGGUGAGGCUGGCCAAGGGAGGGAGGGAGGGAAAGCCACAGCAGCUCCCACCAUAACACAGCCCAGUUGAGAGGAAUUAAUAUACAGAUUUGGCUGUUUGUCAGGUGAUGGUUUUGUCCCCCCUCACAAUGAGUGACUGAGGCUUGUUAUGUAUUGAAGUACUCACCCUGGCCACCAGGGGUAUUGUGUAUAUAGU